rnacentral:rRNA from 1 species
GACGAACGCUGGCGGCGUGCUUAACACAUGCAAGUCGAACGGAAAGGCCCUGCUUUUGUGGGGUGCUCGAGUGGCUAACGGGUGAGUAACACGUGAGUAACCUGCCCUUUACUUUGGGAUAACUUCAGGAAACUGGGGCUAAUACCGGCUAGGAGCUCCUGCUGCAUGGUGGGCGUUGGAAAGUUUCGGCGGUUGGGGAUGGACUCGCGGCUUAUCAGCUUGUUGGUGGGGUAGUGGCUUACCAAGGCUUUGACGGGUAGCAGGCCUGAGAGGGUGACCGGCAACAUUGGGACGGAGAUACGGCACAGACUCGUACGGGAGGCAGCAGUGGGGAAGAUUGCACAAUGGGAGGAAGCAUGAUGCAGCAAAGCCGCGUGCGGGAUGACGGCCUGCGGGUUGUAAACCGCUUUCGCCUGUGACGAAGCGUGAGUGACGGUAAUGGGUAAAGAAGCACCGGCUAACUACGUG